AACCAAACUGGCCAACAGUUCAAGGUUCCCCAGGGCUUAAGCAUGAGCUCUUCCUUCUGGCCUGUGGACCAGGCUGCAAUUCUCUGAGCUGUGCAGGCUGCUGACUCGGUGAAAGACUGCAGUCGACAAAAAUGGUCUCUGACCAAGUCAGGACAUAUCAAAACAGCCAGAGCAACGGAGGAACUGAAUUCUCAAAACUUUGAGAAACCGCUGGAGACUGUUUAAACAGACAUUAUUUCAACAGAGCAGGAGGCCACAUUUGCAAGUUCAGGAAGCCAUAUGUUACACUCCAGAGGCAUGUGUAAUGUGUCAGCUAUGAAGGCCUGCAUGUGGGAAAGCCAGAGUUUAGCCUCAAUGCAGGAUCCCAACAUCCCUGCUCGUAUAUCACUGAGGAGAUUUUCAGUGGCUGGCCGGUAAGUCUCCUUGCUAUCCAAUCUCUUCCAAAUGACACCUACUUGCUCACGGCCCUUCCCCUUAGCCUCUGAAAGCCCUGACUGUCUCCACCCAGGAGAGCAAACAGAAUGUCACCGUGAUGAAUGCCCUUGGCCAGACAUGGCAUCAUCUUUUAUGGAAAACGGAAAAACCAGUAGAAAUCCAGUGGUCACAGACAUCUGGCCAGCGGGCAGGCUUGAGUUUUGAAAUAUAUCAGCAAAGUAGUCCACUGGCACAGAAGCGAGCCGGGAAGAAAGAAAGAGGCUAAAGCCCAAACCACUGCCAACUGAAGUAACUCUUGCUGUAUGGGUCUCCUGGAGCAGCCAUCAGAGGAAGUCUACUUGGGAGAGUAUGCUUGGAAACGUUUUCAUUUUCCCUUCUAGUUUAUGGAGAAGACUAGAUUGCUUGGCCAAUACAACCAGUAAGGCAAAGUAGAAGACAAACAGUGUUUUUACUGGGAAGGUUUCUGAUUCAUGAUAUCCAGAAAAAAAAAGGAAGUAAGAAAAAGAAAAAAUAGCACAUCAAAACUUUAAAACCAGACAAUAAACAGUCAAGUUCAUGGUCCUAACUAGUUUUCCCUCAGUUUCACUGCAAGAGCCAGGACUGGGUAAUGUCUACCUACUACCUUAAAGUAAUAAACAGUAUACAGAAGGCUGUUACACAGGCAAGAGACAAGCCCCAAUAUUUGUUCAUUCAUCUAACGAGUAUUUAUUUAGCUCCCUUUACAUGAGUGGCAUAGCCUUUACUGACGUCUCUGUAACUUUGUAAAGAUACAUGGUAACGUUACCAGGAGCAUGCCAACAAUGAGAGCUAGUGUCCCCCAGCGUGUGUGAAACUGAGAGCCAACCCCAUAGAGUGGAGAGAACUUUUAGUCAGACAAGCACAUUUCUGGACCAGAUGAUGAACCAGGUCAUGCAGGGAGUGAUAUUCAGGUAAAUGAAGAACAGUCACAGUGAAGGAUGCAGGUGCAUUCAGUAAAUGGUGUAGACAAGGGAGGAAGAUGCAGGUGCAAUCAGCAGAUGGUGUAGACAAGGGAGGAAGAUGCAGGUGCAUUCAGCAGAUGGUGUAGACAAGGGAGGAAGAUGCAGGUGCAAUCAGCAGAUGGUGUAGACAAGGGAGGAAGAUGCAGGUGCAUUCAGUAAAUGGUGUAGACAAGGGAGGAAGAUGCAGGUGCAAUCAGCAGAUGGUGUAGACAAGGGAGGAAGAUGCAGGUACAAUCAGUAAAUGGUGUAGACAAGGGAGGAAGAUGCAGGUGCAUUCAGUAAAUGGUGUAGACAGGAGCUGAUCCAAGUGAAGCCUUAAAAGAUUGUUCUCUUUAAUCAUUACUAGUACCUCACGACAUAGAUACCUGUCUACUCUCCUAUGCAGGAGGCCCAGCACACUCAUGAAGAUCUUCCCACCUAUGUGCAGUGGUUCUGGAGCAGCAGCCGAGACAUCCACUUAAGACAGGGUUUGCCUGCCCUACUGCUGUUCACCAUCUAGGUUACACUGUGUCUGCUAUUCACCCCGAAACCUCUCACCCUCCCUUUUCUGAACUAUGCCACAGUUCCUGAAGCCUUUCUAAAUGCCGAACGCUAUGCCAUGGACAUAACACCUCCUCCCAAGACCAGGCAGGUCAUUCUGCUAACAGACUUCAACAUACUGCUGCUCAGGGAGGCACUAUUUCCUGGGCUUGCGUCCUGGACUGUGCAAAAGGAGAGAAAAGAAGCGGAGAGCACCAACAUGCACGGGUUCACCCUCUCUCCAUUCUUGACUGUGGAAAUGAGUGCUUCACCUUCCCAACUUCCUGCCUACCCUGGGAUGGUUCACUCUAUUCCUGGCCUCUGACCCAAAUAAGGCUUCUCCCUUAAGGUGUUCUGUCAGUGCAGUCACCACAGCAGCAGAUGUGACUGGAAAGCUCGUUUCUCCCCCUCUGCACUGGAUGCCACCACGGACGAACCCCUUUCUGCCUCUUCCUCUGUCUGGAGUGUACUGGUGGAACCUGGGCCGCACGAAGAUUACGGGACUUGUAUAAUGCCAUCCUGUUCAUAGUACAGAAGAAAGAAACAGCUCAAUGGAAAGGGAAAAAGAGGAAGAACUUUUACAAUAAGAGGAGGUGAAGCAAACGCAGAGGUAAGCCGUGGAGUCAGGGGCAGAGGAGGAAGAACCAAGGGGAGCAGCAGGGUGUCUGACAAGAGGGCCUGGGAGGGGGUUGGGGAUUUAGCUCAGUGGUAAGAGCACUUGCCUAGCAAGCACAAGGCCCUGGGUUCGGUUCCCCAGCUCCAAAAAUAGAGAAAAAAAAAAGAGGGCCUGGGAGGAGGUGGACUAGGUGGCUGGCUGAUCUUUAACUGGGCUGUAUUUGCCUGAGGUGGUGAAGAGGAGGAGGAGGAGAGGAACAGAGAAGCAGAGGUAUGGAAUUGGGAUAUCUUGAAAAAGGAGACGUCAAAGCUAGCAGAAUCAGUGGUGAGUUAAAUAUGACCACGCACGCACACACACACACUCACACACACACACACACACACACACACACAAGGGGAAGGAGAAUCGAAUACUUCAUAAAUUGAUGAAAGGAGGUUUUCAAGCAGCCCUGAAAAAGUCUGACUGGGAGCAGAAAUUAUAACAAUGUGAAGGACUCUGGCAAUGCCAGAGGAUGCUUUCUUGGAAGAUCAAAUAGCACAUCCUGAGCAGAGGCUGACUGUAGUAGUCCUGCAGCGUCCACUCACCUCUCUGGUCUGCUCCAUGCUUGUUCUCAAUCCCUGGGCCAAGCACUGUGCUUAGCUGGGUUCAAAUCCUGGCCCUAAAUUCAUUUAACUUUGUGCAUUGCAGUUUCCCACACUGUAAAACAUGGUGGCCGAUAACACACUUUACGUACUGCUGGAUGGAUUCCAUAAUGCCACCGGAGAGACCUAUUUGGACACUUUGCAAUGAAUCACCCUACUAAAAUAGAACCAACUAUGCCUGGAUUCUAGACAACAUUCCAAGGCCUAAAAGUCACCAUUCCAAUUUUCUAUACAUUUUGCAACAGGGGCUAGAAGCCUCAGAAUUCAUUGAGUGAUUUAAGUAGUCAAAAUACUAUAUAUAUGUAAGUCCAAUGGUGAGCAUUCUCGGAUGUUAUCUGCUUAUUAUUCUGUAGUGCUGCUCUACGUGAUAGGCAAGCAUUUCACUACUCAGCUGUGUCCACAGACCCAGAGAUUAACUUUAAGUAGUCUGGAUAUUUUAAUAGAUGGGAGGUGAAAGAUACUACUGACUUAUUUAUAACCGACCACUUAUAGUUCUUAAGAAAGGGCAGAUCUGCUGUAGCCUUUCUAUACUCCAAUAAUAGCAACCCAGAGUAAACUCCAAUAUCCACCCACAAAGGGGAAAAAGGAGAAUCUAGUUCCAAGGAAUUCCUUCUGCCUGCUGCUAAAGGCAGAGGUCAGUGCUUAUUAACAGCACAGACAAUGGGUUAGAGGGCCACCAUCAGUCCAUCCGAUCUGUCCACGCUUCAGAAGAGCCUCUGUAGAGAUGGCCCUCUGACACCAUUAUCACCCCAGGCCCCAGAGGACACAAGGCUUCCCAAGCAGGCUCAGGAAAGCCCGACUCUUCAACAGCACAGUUCUGAGCACCACCGAGAGAUCAGAGCUAGCAAUGCUGGCAGAUGUGGAGAACUUGGAAAACCUAUGCAUGUUCUUAGGUAAGCUGGCCUUUCACAGCCCAGUGGGGAGCCUUGCCUCACGCUUUAUCAUUCAACCAGACUGUGGCUGAUAAAUGGACACAAACAAUAAUCACCCAAAGGAAGAAAAGUCUAAACAGACCAGUCCAGAGCAUUACUACACAGCCUGGGCCAUGGGCUUUGACCAUACUCUGAUAUAAGUGUCAGUUUUAAAACCAGUGGGUUUGGUUGGGGAUUUAGCUCAGUGGUAGAGCGCUUGCCUAGCAAGCGCAAGGCCCUGGGUUCGGUCCUCAGCUUCGAAAACAAACAAACAAACAAACAAACAAACAAAAAAACAGAUUUAGUAGACCGUUAAAAACAAUGAAAUAAUUUCAAAGAAUCACACUUGGAAUUCUGGAACUCCACGUUCUAGGACAUACAACUUACUAUCUCUUACUGUAGAAAAAAGCUUCUACAGAAAGCCAUCACAUGAUCAGCUAGUUGUGUCCCUUAAGGACGGGCACUGUGGCUUUCCCAUCUUAUCUCAGUUAUUCGGUGGGUGAGUAAAACACUCAACUGUCUGCCGAUCUCCUAAUACAACACUGCUUCUAAAAGUAUUCAAAGAAAUCCAUCCUCAAAUCCAUCCCAAGACAGCCUCCCCUCCUCCCCACUGCAACUAUUUGAAUGCUAUUAUAUUGAUAUGUUCAUCCUGACAGCUCCCUCAUACAACACAGCAUCUGGCUCCCCUGUCAAAGUGAAAUCAAACUCUAACAGGGGAAAACCAGAGUUCCGCUGUUGUCACUCCCAACAUCCUGAAAAGCUGGGUAACGCUAAAAGGUGAGGACCCUGAAGCCAGCCUCCCUGGGAUCACACACCACUGCCUCCAUCCUGUGACUUGGGCCAGUUACGUUAGUCAUCCUUCUGUGCUUUAGUUGGAGAAUAAACGAUAAGAGUAACCUCCAUCUGGGGGCUGCUGUGAGAACUGAAUGGGUCCGAUGGUUGUAAAAUAGUAUCCGGCUGAAAAGGAAGCAUUCACGAAGGGCUAGCUAAUUUGGUCAUUACUCAUAGUCCCAAGGGAAAUUCCAUUGUUAUUCUACACAAUGGUCCUUUUUCUCUAGGCUUAGUGGAUACUGAUGCUCACACAGUGUACAGAUUCGGAUCUGCUGACUGGCUUUAGCAGAGGAGAGAUACUGCUGAUGGUACCACACAAGCAGAGAAGCUUCUGUAGCUCUGCUUGCCCAGAGAACCAAUCGCUGCUUUUUAAACGACCGAAGUGGUGUGAACAUCGGGAGAAUUCAUUAAAGUCUUAACAGUCUUAAAUGGUUUAUCACUUUCCCAGUAAAACGAACUGAACAUUCAUUAAAGGAUAAUUUGCAUCUCCACAGGAAAGGAUGGAAGGAUAGACCAGAUCUGGAAACUGUGGGAUGUAUCUUGCAGUUUUAGGUCCAAUGGGACAUAUUUGUUUUUAGCUUUUUUUUUUUUUUUUUAACUUGAGUGUUUCUUAUAUACAUUUCGAGUGUUAUUCCCUUUCCCGGUUUCCAGGCAAACAUCCCCCUCCCCCUCCCCUCUCCCCUUCCUUAUGGGUGUUCCCCUCCCCAUCCUCCCCCCCUUGUCGCCCUCCCCCCAACAAUCUAGUUCACUGGGGGUUCAGUCUUAGCAGGACCCAGGGCUUCCCCUUCCACUGGUGCUCUUACUAGGGUAUUCAUUGCUACCUAUGAGGUCAGAGUCCAGGGUCAGUCCAUGUAUAGUCUUUAGGUAGUGGCUUAGUCCCUGGAAGCUCUGGUUGCUUGGCAUUGUUGUACAUAUGGGAUCUCGAGCCCCUUCAAGCUCUUCCAGUUCUUUCUCUGAUUCCUUCAACGGGGGUCCUAUUCUCAGUUCAGUGGUUUGCUGCUGGCAUUCGCCUCUGUGUUUGCUGUAUUCUGGCUGUGUCUCUCGGGAGAGAUCUACAUCCGGCUCCUGUCGGCCUGCACUUCUUUGCUUCAUCCAUCUUGUCUAAUUGGAUGGCUGUAUAUGCAUGGGCCAAUGGGACAUAUUUGAAAAAAGGCCACUGGACAUGGAAGGCUAACAAAUUGUAUUCUUGUCUGCCAAGAAAACCCCUGGUGAAAAAGCCCAACAAAAACAGCAACAACAAAAAACACGCCUAGAAGCCAAGUCAGAGGGAUAUGUUGUAGAAAGCACACAGCUCAUCAUUUUCUGGCUUCCACUUGCCCACCACGAGGAGCGCUACCCAUCAACCUCACAUCAACAUGCACAAGAGGACAGCUGGACAGACAUUCGAGGCUUGUGCAUCUUGAAGGCAAUCAUGCAGGAAAGGGUCACCACUCCAUGAGUUCAGGGUCACCACUGCCAUCGAAUCAGUCUCAUUGGUAAGAGCCUCCAGCUGCAACUGUCCCCAAAGCACAUAUUCUUCAGGCACCUGAACUUCUAAAAUGUCAACAGAGAAUGAUGGGAGAGAUUUUACUUUCUGCUUUUUCCUCCCUCCGUGGACUGAGAUAUCUGAGGAAAAGCUUUUUAUCAUCCAAUAGACUCUGUCUGUCUCAUUCCUCCAGCACAUACGAACAUACCCUUCCCUAUAUAAACUCGUGAUGUGAGAAACAAAAUGAUUCCUAAGAAAAGCUCCGCCCUCUGAAGGAAGACAAGGUCUUUGAGUAAUCACAGCACAUUUGUUCCAAUAAAAUAAAAUAUGUUUGUCCAGAAAACCAAAUGGAUGUUCAACCAGAAAAACAAAUAAAUAAAUGUGUCCACAACACUGCCCUGAAGAACAAUCUGGGGACAGGCAAUAGCGUAGGGAGAGGCCAGGUGUAAAACAUACUGGAAGCAGUGAUGUGCAGACCGAAUACUAAGAAAAACAACAACCACAACAAAAAAAAAAAACUGGACUCAAAGGCUUAACAGGAAAGGAAAUAAGUGAAAGGGAAAGAAGACAGAAAGAUAGCACCGACGCAAGAUCCAGGGAAUGAUGUACGAAUCGAAACAAAACAAAGAAACAAAAGAUUAAAGAUUAAAAAAAAAAAGACUGGUACUUUGAGGUACAACAUUUAGUGAAUUUUUGUUGAUUUCAAGGAAAAAGAAAACCUCUAUUGCAGAGAACAGGCUACCAUCAAAGGCUUCUUUUCCAAUUCAGGAUGGCUCAAAUUUCCCCAAAAUACUACAUGUCAAACAUCAAUGGGCUGCUUUAAGCUUGACCCCAGUGUCUUCUCCCUAGCCUUCUUCCUUUGGGCUCGAGAACAACAGGAUCACCCUCAGGCAGGUGCUGGCAGGGCCUGAUUUUGCCCAGACACAACUGCACAGUUGUUAUUUUUUCCAAUUGGGCCAGUUGUUCAAGAUCAAGAAACAAAUCAAAAUAAGGAUACAUGAAUGUGGAAAUUGAUAGGGAUGUCAAGAAGCAAAAUUAGUAACUAUGGUUAGAACCCCCCCACACACACAUACACAUGUAACAUUAUAAAAUAAACAUGGAGCUUAAAAACAAAAACGCAAUAUUGAUUGCCAUGGGUCUACAUUAAGAGACGGAGAGUGACAGACUUAACAAUUCCUGCAAAUCACUGCCCUGGCCUCAACAGCAUGCCAUGAAGAGAUAGCAAGCUAUGUGCAAGGAUGACUGAUAUUAAUUCAGGAAAGCCCACGAGUCCCAGUAGGAACUUUUAAAAGACUUGUGUGUAUAGGUAUAGCAAUGUGUGGCUAUCAGCAUGCGAGUACGAGGGUCCAGAUUCCACAAAAGGGGCUUGGGUUCCUGGAACUGGAGUUGCAGGCAGUUUUAGGUUGCAGAACUUGGGGGCUGGAAACUUGGGUCCUUGCAAAAGCAGCAGGCCUUUAAUCUCGAGCCCCACCUCCAGAUCCUAAAGCCUGAACUGUUCUUAAGACUUACAUGCUAAUUCUGAGUUCACAAUACCCCCUUUAAUUUCUCAGAAGUCCUUCUAGCCCAGUUCAAGCGUCCACCUUUCCCCUUCUAUCCUGCACUGCCAUUGUUUUUGCAUGGACCACACUUUUUAACUAUUUUCUUUUAGCAUGCGAAUAAAACAACUGCUCUCUUUCCAACACUGGGACUAUGCAGAAUUUAGACAUCCAGAUGUAGCAAACACUAUAACCAUUACUGUUAUUUUUCUGUAACAAUAACCUCCUACCCUUUCUCAGUGUUACCAUAAUUUGCUUUUAAAAAAAAAAUCCAUCUUUCCAUGAGAAUAUUCAAAUUUAACUGGAGCUUCAAUCUACAGAAAGAAAAAGCUUUCCAAGGAAUGUCUGCCACUAAAGAAUUUAAGCUACUGUGGAGUUAAAACUAUUUGCUUUUUUUUUUCCCAUUUAUUUCUCUGGGAGGCAGGGGGAAGGAGGGGUUUAAACUUCAUACCUCAGAGACCUGCUGGGAGGGCUGAGUUAAGAUGUUAAAACACUUGGUGAUGUACCUUGUACAUGAGAGGUACUGAAUAAGUGUUGUUACCAGACCACUGGUAUCAUGUAGGGCUUGGUGAUGUCACAGAAAAUUCGACCCCUAUCUGCUUCUUGACUCAGUGUUACAGGCUGAUGCUAAGCCUGUAUAGACAAGAAAAUAUAGACCUCUCAUGCCUACAUGCUGAAAUUCCCCCCUGAUUUAUUACAUUCUAGUCACUUAAAUAAACCCUGGAGAAUUAAUUUUCCUGAAAUACUUUCUUAAUAAAUUGCAAAAAUAGUUCCAAGAGAAGAUGAAUAGCAUUUGGGGGUUCCCCCCCAACACACACUUUUUUUUUUUUUUUUUACAAAUUAAGUGGGUUCUCAUUUUCUGGUCUUCAAAAUGAGGAACACAGCAUGAUUUUAAAAGUUACUUGGAAGAUUUAUACUGUAAUAAAGGCAUUUUUCCAAAUUAGCACACACAUUCACAAAUGCCAAAUAGUAUUUGGGACAUUCAGUUGUUGAAACAUAAGCCAGAUUGUGGAAUGAGGUAAUAGCUAUUAGGCCAACUAAGACAGAAGGAAAAAUAAUCGACUGAAAGCUUUCUGUGAGGAGAUUCUUAAAACUCAGGGAUUUGGAGAGAAGUCAGCACAAGUAUGUACUCAUCUAGCCUUUUAUUAAUUUAAGUUUGAGUUCUGAUUUUUUAUUUUUAAUUAUGUGAAAAGGCAUGCUAUGCGCCUAAGUGUGUUGAAGUAUCUCUUGGAACCAGAGGCAUCCAAACCCACAGAGCUAGAGUGAAAGGUGUUUCAAGCUGCCUGAUGUGGGUGCUGGGAACUGAACUUGAGCUCUCUGUAAGAGCAGCAAGCACUUUAAACCACCGAGCCUCCUCUCCAGUCUCCAGAUACAUACAUACAUACAUACAUACAUACAUACAUACAUGCAUGCAUGCAUGCAUGCAUGCAUACAUAUGUACAUACAUACAUGCAUGCAUACAUACACAUGUACAUACAUACAUACAUGCAUACAUACAUGCAUACAAAGCAUACCAUACAUAUUACACAGUAUA